rnacentral:lncRNA from 1 species
ACAGCCUCAGCGGACAGGAAAUGAUCAACAGCUUCUCCUCUCGGAUCCACGUGGACUCAAGGAAUCUCCGGGGGGCAGGACAGGUGCAGAGCCGAGUGCAAAGGUGGAAUUCUAUUCCCAAAGCACAUCCCGCGCCCCUUUCCUCUGCAAAGUCCCGGAACCGCGUGACUCCGGAUGAGUUAUCGGGGCUGGAACCGAGGGUUCAGCCCCCUGCGCCUCUGUGUGUCCCGGUCCCUUUCCUCCAAGUAGACAGGAGGCAUCUCCUCAUCGGCUCAGUUCACAUUCCUCCAGGGGCUCAAAGGGGACCCAGUCCCUGUCUUGGGACACCAAGUCAGGCAGACUCCAGGAGAGAGGAAGGAAGAUGAUUCCCGCGCUCAGGUGGGCGGGUCCUGCUCCCUCUGUUGAAGACCUGAAGACAAAGAUUGACCCUCACCCUUCACCUCCCACCUCUUCCUCACCUUGGAAAAGAAAAACAUUCCUGAGAGGGGGGAUUUGUCAGCAGAAGGCUUUGGGACUAGAACUGCAGCAUCAGCUCUUCCUGGUUCCCCAGCGCCCAGGCCUACCCUGCAGAUGUGGGCUUACUGGCCUCCACGAUCAGUGAGCCGGUUCCUUAAAAUCAACCUCUCUCUCUUCCUCUGUCUCUCCCUCUCUCUCUCUCCCUGUCCACAUCCCAUUGGUUCUGUUUCUCUGGGGAAACCUGACUAAUAAGGGGACUCUCAAGGCCCUGGCUGAGGAUGGCAGGCCUGAAGAUUCUCUGAGGCAUUCAGCAUUGAAUGAGCACCAGCUGGGCGUGGAGCUGUGUCAGGCGCUGGGCACAGGACUCAGCCCCGGAACCAAGUGUGGGCCCACAUGGUGUGGGCCUUUGUCUGUCCCUGUCAUGGCUUUGGACACACGCGUGGCCCAGAGGGGACAACGGAUCUGGGUGGCGAGGUGGGAAAGCUCACCCCAGUAUUCCUCUUGGUGGCAGCAGUCCCUUAAGGGGUCGCCUGAGUCGUGAGACCCACAGGUGUGGACCUCCCCCCCCCCUUCCUCCCCUCUCCCCCAGUGACUUUAUCCAGCACCUGCCCUGCCCAGCCUUGCACAGGUUACCCUGUGACCCACUCACAGGGAGAUAGGGCAGCUUCUUUCUGCCCUCAGGAGCCUUGUUCUCAAGGCAGCUCAUCCAAGAGAAUAACAUACAGUAGAUUGCCACACACAUGACUGUGGCUUAGUCCAGGAAAGCCACUUAUAAAAUCCGGAGGUGAAGGAAGAAAAGAUUGAAAUCUCUGUAACAAAUCCAUUUCCCUCCUCCCUCCCUCCCUUCAUCUCCAAAGUAGACCUGCCCCAGGGCCAGGGAUCCUCUCCCUGCAAGGCUAGGUAACAAGCGGAUUUUUGCUUUUGAGCUUCAAGGUCCUGGCUUCUGGUGGUUUAUAGGUGAUCUUUGAGGGUGGUUUUGACGAGAGGCUUGUUAGCUUCUCUACGCUUUUGAAACGCCCACUCUCCCCACAAGAAUCUGGGACUUUGCAGAACCGGUCCAAGAGACGAGGUCUCCCUAAGUUGCCCACGCUGGUCUUGAACUCCUGGGCUCAAGUGACCCACCUGCCUCGGCCUCUCAAAAUGCUGAGAUUAUAGGCAUGAGCCACUGUGCCCGGUUCAAGUUAAAGAUCUUGAGAUGAAAUGAUUCUUGGGAUCAUUAUCUUGGACGGAUUGUAAAUCCCAGGAUGAAUGUCCUUAUAUGAGACGCGCAGAGGAGAGACACAGAGAUGGAAGAGGAGAAGGCCAUGUGAAGGCAGAGGCAGCGACUUGAGAGUUGCAGCCACAAGCCAGGAUGGCCUGGAAGAGGCAGGAGCAGACUCUUCUUAGAGCCUCCAGAGGGAGUGUGGCCCUGCUGACACCUUGAUCUUGGACCCUUGGCCCAUCAGAGCUGUAAGAGAGUAAGUUUCUGCUGUUUGAGGUCAUCUGCUGCAGGAGCCCCCAGGAACAAAUACACCUCCCAAUCCCAUUUUUAAUUCCCGAGGGUUUGCACCCCCAGGACACUUCUUCCACACAUGCCCUGUUGUGCUCCGUAUUGCCCUGUGUCCAUUUGGAAGUGGGACUCCAUCCUGUUGAUACGUUCCACAUAAAAUAUACUUGUACCAAAAAUGUCUUGUUUUUAGGAGACUGUGGGGGAUGGGAGUUGGGGGAAGGGUUCCAUUUUCCAGGGCAAUUAUAGCUGUCCCUCAGUAUCCUAAAGGGUUUGGUUCCAGGACUCCUGCAGGUACCAAAAUUCAAGGAUGUCCAAGUCUCUGAUAUAAAAUGGCAUAGUAUUUGUAAAUAACCUAUGCACAUUCUCCUGUAUACUUUAAAUCAUCUCUAGAUUAUUUGUAAUACCUAAUACAAUGUAAGUGCUGUGUAAAUAGUUAUUGUACUGUAUUAGUUUUAAAAUUUGUGUUAUUUAUUAUUAUUAUUUUGAGACAGAGUCUCGCUCUGUCGCCAGGCUGGAGUGCAGUGGCAUGAUCUUGGCUCACUGUACCCUCCGCCUUCCAGGUUCAAGCGAUUCUCCUGCCUCAGACUCCUGAGGAGCUGGGACUACAGGUGCAUGCCACCACGCCCAGCUAAUUUUUGUAUUUUUAGUAGAGAUGGGGUUUCACCAUGUUGGCCAGGAUGGUCUCGAUCUCUUGACCUCAUGAUCCUCCCACCUUAGCCUCCCAAAGAGCUGGGAUUACAGAUGUGAGCCACCGUGCCUGGCCUAUUGUUGCUAUUAUUAAAAAAAAAAUUUGGAGAUGAGGUCUCAGUCUGUUGCCCAGGCUGGAGUGUAGUGACAUGAUUAUGGCUCACUGCAGCCUCAAACUCCUGGACUCAAGCUAUCCUGCCACCUCAGCCUGCCGAGUAGCUGAGACUACAGGUUCGUGCCACCACACCUGGCUAAUUUUUGUUUUUUUGGUUUUUGUAGAGCUGUGAUCUCAUUAUGUGUUGUCCAGGCUGGUCUCAAACUCCUGGCCUCAAGUGAUCCUCCCACCACAGUGCUGGGAUGGCAGGUGUGAGCCACUGUGUCUGGCCUGUUGUUAUUUUUAAAUUGCUUUUCUUUUUUCAAAUAUUUUUGAUCCAUGGUUGAUUGAAAUCUUGGAUGUGGAACCAGGGGGUAACUGAGGGCGAAUUGCACUGGGCUUUCCCUUGACUAAAUUUGGGCAAAAUAAAAUGAUCUCUAACCUUUGUAAAGCUAAUCAGACACCUCUAGGGUAGCAAAUCCUAAAAGAAAAAGAUCAGGCAUAUGAGUGCGUGUGUGUGUGCACGUGUAUCUGUGUUGCCAAGCUGUUCCCUCCCCCACCCCCACCACUUUGCUUUUGGAGGCAAAGGAAAGGCACCCUCCUGGCUAGCAGGCCAGAUGAGCCUUGUCACCUGGGGGAUAGGAUGCGACCCAGAUCUGCUCCUGAGCACAAAGAUGAGCAAAAUCAAAGGAAAUUGCAUGAGACUGAAGACCUUCUGUGUGGUCCUCCUGGGAGUGGCAGAAGUUUCUGGUGGAGGCGCAAAACAGGCCCCUGCUACACAUAACUUCCAUAACCACCAAUCCACAGGCAAUCCACCCACCCACACCACAUCCCAGGCCUCUCCUUUCCGUGCCUGACCUGUGCUCCCGUGGCCUGCAUGGGUGUGAGUCGCCUCUUUCUCCACUGCAGGCCUCUUCCAGGAUGUCCUGGUGAAGAACACCACUGCCUGUCCAAUUAUACUAGUCAGAACCCUGGGAGUGUCUCUUGACACUCCUUCUCAUCGUCCGCCAAACCCAGCCCAUCCCCAAAGCCUGUUGAUUGUAUUUCCUGCUUGUCACACAAAUGCCACCAGCUUUGAUGGGCACCUUGUUCCUCCCCUUUGUGGUACUUGUCACAGUUGCAAUUUGCCUGUGAGCUCCGCAGAAGACAGAUGCCACGGCUGCUUAUUCCUUGUCGUGUCCCUGGUUCCUAAAACAGUGCCUCGUGCAUCACUGGUGUUCAAUAAAUACUUGCCAAAUCAUUGAAUAAAUAAGCAAAUGAAUGAAGGAAUGCAGUUUUGAGUGAGGAUGGUGUUGAAAAGGAAUAAAGCCUUCCCCAGUAGUGCCUGAGGUCCAUGUAAGAAUGUCCUAGAUGAUAAGACAGGAGACACACGGGCGUGGUAGAUGGGCUCUCCCCACCCCUCCCCAUAAGAGUGCAAAGCUGGGACAAGCCAGAGGCUUCACAGGCCUGGUAACUGGGGGGUAGGGUUUGGUGAUUCCUACCCAGGGCUGGGGGCAUCGGGAGGCUCUUCCUCUCUACCUGGACUGUGUUUACCAGGUGUGUUUCCCAUUCAUUAUUUUCCAGUGGGUACUGGGUUCAAAGUUUCUAUAAGCAGUGGGGGCUUUGAGGUUCGAGGAAAGUGUAGUAUAGCUUUCUCUUCCUUUUAGGAAGAUUUCUGUUUUUCUUUUUCUUUUUUUUUUUUUUUUUUUGAGACAGAGUCUUGCUCUGUCACCCCAGCUGGAGUGCAGUGGCAUGAUCGAGGCUCACUCCAACCUCCGCCUCCCAGGUUCAAGUGAUUCUUGUGCCUCAGACUCCUGAGUAGCUGGGAUUACAGACAUGAGCCUCUGCACCCGUCCUAGGAAGAUUUCAAAACGAAGAUGAGUCUAUUGUAAUUUAGAGGGCCAUUUUAAACUCCCUGUGUUGGUGGCAGAUGGUUUGGGUCUGGCAGCUAGCUCUAUCCCAACCUUCUCUAUCCACCCUGCAACUCCCUCCCCUCCCCCUCACAUUUUAUUUUGAAAUUUUCAAACAUUCUGAAAAGUUCAAAGAAGAGUACAAUGAACUUACCCUGGAUUCUCCAACUGUUAACAUUUUGCCACAAUUGCUUUGUCUCUGUUGGUCUCUCUCUGUCUUUGUAUAUUUCCACAUACUUUUAUUUUGCUGAGCAAUUUGAAAGCAAGUUGCUGACAUCUUGACACUUCACUUCUAGAUAUCUCAGCAUCUCCUAAUAAGGAUAUUCUCCCACAAAACCACAAUACCAUGAUCACAACCAUAAUAGCACCCAGUGUACUAUCUGUAUUCAAAUCUCUACAGUUGUCCCCGGAAGAGCUUUUAAUGCUGGAUUUUUUUUUCCUAUCCAGGAUCCAAUCAAGAUCAUGUAUGAUAUUUGGUUGUUAUGGCUCUUCAGUCUCUUUUCAUCUGAAACAGUCUUUCACCUUUUUAUUGUUGUUGUUGUUCUUUGUUUAUGUGAAAUUAGUUUUUGAUAAAGAGUCCAGGACAGUUGUCUUGUAGAGUGUCCCAUAUGUGGGUUAAUCUGAUUGCUUACACAAGAUUAGAUGCAGGUUGAAUAUCUUUGGCCAGAGUUCUGUACUGCAUAGGUGCCACUGUAGACUUCUCAGUCAAGUAUCACAUCUGGAGUAAAUAAUGUCAAUAUCACAUCUGGAGUAAAUAAUGUCAGGCAUCACAACUGGAGUAAAUAAUGUCAGUAUCACAUCUGGAGUAAAUAAUGUCAGUAUCACAUCUGGAGUAAAUAAUGUCAGUAUCAUAUCUGGAGUAAAUAAUGUCAGUUAUCACAUCUGGAGUAAAUAAUGUCAGGCAUCACAUCUGGAGUAAAUAAUGUCAGGCAUCACAUCUGGAGUAAAUAAUGUCAGGCAUCACAUCUGGAGUAAAUAAUGUCAAUAUCACAUCUGGAGUAAAUAAUGUCAGUUAUCACAUCUGGAGUAAAUAAUGUCAGUUAUCACAUCUGGAGUAAAUAAUGUCAGUUAUCACAUCUGGAGUAAAUAAUGUCAGGUAUCACAUCUGGAGUAAAUAAUGUCAGUAUCACAUCUGGAGUAAAUAAUGUCAGUAUCACAUCUGGAGUAAAUAAUGUCAGUAUCACAUCUGGAGUAAAUAAUGUCAGGCAUCACAUCUGGAGUAAAUAAUGUCAGGUAUCACAUCUGGAGUAAAUAAUGUCAGUAUCACAUCUGGAGUAAAUAAUGUCAAUAUCACAUCUGGAGUAAAUAAUGUCAGGUAUCACAUCUGCAGUAAAUAAUGUCAGUAUCACACCUGGAGUAAAUAAUGUCAGGCAUUACAUCUGGAAUAAAUAAUGUCAGUAUCACAUCUGCAGUAAAUAAUGUCAGUUAUCACAUCUGGAGUAAAUAAUGUCAGGCAUCACAUCUGGAGUAAAUAAUGUCAGUAUCACAUCUGGAGUAAAUAAUGUCAGGUAUCACAUCUGCAGUAAAAAACAUCAGUAUCACAUCUGGAGUAAAUAACAUCAGGUAUCACAUCGGGAGUAAAUAAUGUCAGUAUCGCAACUGGAGUAAAUAAUGUCAGGCAUCACAUCUGGAGUUAAUAAUGUCAGGCAUCACAUCUGGAGUAAAUAAUGUCAGUAUCACUUCUGCAGUAAGUAAUGUCAGGUAUCACAUCUGGAGUAAAUAAUGUCAGGUAUCACAUCUGGAGUACAUAAUGUCAGUAUCACAUCUGGAGUAAAUAAUGUCAGGUAUCACAUCUGGAGUAAAUAAUGUCAGGCAUCACAUCUGGAGUACAUAAUGUCAGCCACUCUUGGUCAUUCUGAGUUUGAUCACUAAUCCUCACUCUGCUUCCCCUUUUGUAAGUAAUUUUUAGAAUCUUCACAUGGUCACAGGAUUAACUGAAUAUCCAAGUCACCAAACAGUUUUGGCAACUCUUGGUGAUGCUUACCUGAAGGAAGCAUUACAUUGGAGGUUGGAAAAUGGUAGUUUUUCAUUCUUUUAUUCCUGCUACAUUUACUAGCUGGCCUUUUUUUCUGUAAGAAUUUCCAAAUCCCACUAUAUUAAAAACAUUAAUCACUGUGGGUUCGUGGAGUUUUAAAAAUGCUAUAAUUGAAACUACAGUUAUUCAUUUUGAUGUUCAAAUCAUCCCACAUUUGAGCAGUGGGAGCCCUCAGGUCAGCUCCUGAAUCCUUUUGACAUGAUCACAUUUAUCUUCCAAAACUGUUUUGCUUUCUGGUGUGACAAGAGAUUCCAUGCUCACGUUGUACAUUUUCACCCCUGACCUAGAAUCUACCAUUUCUCUAACGAGCCCUGGUGCCUUUAGUGGUGAAUGGUAUAGAGAAAGAAAGAACCUGGUGAUAUAUGCGAUCAUUGCUACUCGGCUGUCAUUCAGUGGACAGGAUUAGAAAACUCAUUUUAAAAAAAAUUACAAGUUCAAACUGAUAUAUUUCCUACUCAAAUUUAACAUUACAGUUUUUCUUUCACUUCUUUACUGACUACUAGUAUCUUUUUUCCCCGUCAGUAAAAUAUAUAUUUGCUUAUUUGCUUUCCACUAUACAUGCACAAAAGAGUUUCAGAAUUACAAGACCAAUAUUACUGCUAACAGUAAACAUACUAAAUAGAAGUUUUUCUAUAGUUCUUCUGUUCUUAGAACAGAUCCUUCUCCACAAUCAGAGUGUUUGCUCUGUGUGGUUGUGGUAUCAGUUUGAGGCGUUAUCAGUUUGAUU